CAACUAAAGAACUGCCUGAGUGAGGCAGAGGCUUGCGUGUCCCGAGCUCUGGGACUGGUCAGCGGCCAGGAAGCUGGCCCCCACAGGGUGGCUGGUCUACAGAUGACCCUGACUGAGCUCCGGGCCUUUCUGGACCAGAUGAACAACCUGCCUUGCGCCAUGCACCAGAUUGGGGAUGUCAAGGUGAGGACGCUUGGAGUGCUGAUGAGGGAUCAAGGGGACCAGGGGACCUGAGCAGCAGGCCAUGCUUGGCUCCUUUCAAAAGCUUAAAGUGUUCAGGCAAGACAGGACACACGU
rnacentral:lncRNA from 1 species